rnacentral:tRNA from 1 species
AAAAAGAUGGCCGAGUUAUAGGCAGAAGAUUGUAAUCCUUCCCACGGGACAUCCCUCUUUUUA